rnacentral:ncRNA from 18 species
UAUCAAAUAAUUUUAAGCGACAGAUUAGCCAUUCGAUAUUGAACAGGGAACCGGGUGAAAAUCCCGGACAGUACCCGCUGCUGUGAGCCUCAUUCAUCAGGAUUUGCCAGCAAGCCACUGCCUCCGGGCGGGAAGGCGGCAAAGCCGGGGCGAGUCAGAAGACCUGCCGUUGCCAACAUACCAUUC